GGGGAGAUACUCAAGCGGCCAACGAGGACAGACUGUAAAUCUGUUGUCUUUCGACUUCGCAGGUUCGAAUCCUGCUCUCCCCACAA
rnacentral:tRNA from 3 species